rnacentral:rRNA from 1 species
UACGUAGGGGGCAAGCGUUGUCCGGAUUUAUUGGGCGUAAAGAGCGUGUAGGCGGUCAGGUAGGUCCGCUGUGAAAACUCGAGGCUCAACUUCGAGCUGUCGGCGGAAACUAUCUGGCUAGAGUCCGGAAGAGGAGAGUGGAAUUCCUGGUGUAGCGGUGAAAUGCGCAGAUAUCAGGAAGAACACCCGUGGCGAAGGCGGCUCUCUGGGACGGUACUGACGCUGAGACGCGAAAGCGUGGGGAGCGAACAGG